rnacentral:rRNA from 1 species
UACGUAGGGGGCAAGCGUUGUCCGGAUUUAUUGGGCGUAAAGAGCGUGUAGGCGGCCUGGUAGGUCAGCUGUGAAAACUCGAGGCUCAACCUCGAGACGCCGGUUGAAACCAUCAGGCUAGAGUCCGGAAGAGGAGAGUGGAAUUCCCGGUGUAGCGGUGAAAUGCGCAGAUAUCGGGAAGAACACCGGUGGCGAAGGCGGGUCUCUGGGCCGAUACUGACGCUGAGGAGCGAAAGCGUGGGGAGCGAACAGG